CUUUCCCUUCGACUCCUGGCUCUUGGGAUCUCGCCUCCUGGAAGGUGUUCAUGGGUUGCAGCUGCAGAGGACAGCCUAUGGAUUAUUGCCCAGAAGAGCAACUUUUGUGAAUGGGAGGGGUGAAGGCAAGACCACUCACUGGGCUCCUUCUCCAGUGGAUAGGGGUAAACAUAUGGAAGCUUGUUCAACUGACUGAGGCCCUCAGAUGCAGAUUUUGCUCGGCUCUCAGAUAAUUCAAGGAAAAUCUCUCAGGCUUUGGACUCACUGAAGGGAAAAACCAAGAAAUGACCCCUUUCUCUGACCCUUGCGGGUGAAAUGACCACUUACCGCUAUUGAAUUGGUGGAGGUCAUAGGUUUUCUGGAGAAGGAAGGAAGAAGAGAUACCAGAGAAUUCUCUCUCUGCAUGAGCACAGAAGAAAGCCCAUGUGAGGUCAUAGCAAGAAAGUGGCCAUCUACAAGCCAGGAAGAAAGGCCUCACCAGAAAUUAACCCUGAUGGCACCUUGAUCUUGGACUUCUAGCCUCUAGAACUGUGAGAAGGUAAGAAAUAAAGGACAGACUCCUUGGAUAAUGUACUUGCUUUGAUGAAUGAAACGGUGAGGACAGAUUUAGAAAAUACUGGGAAAUACUUUAUAACUACGGCUGUGGG